CCUACGGGAGGCAGCAGUGGGGAAUUUUGGACAAUGGGGGCAACCCUGAUCCAGCNAUGCCGCGUGAGUGAAGAAGGCCCNUCGGGUUGUAAAGCUCUUUUGUCAGGGAAGAAAAGGGUGUGGCUNAUAUCCAGAUCUNNUGACGGUACCUGAAGAAUAAGCACCGGCUAACUACGUGCCAGCAGCCGCGGUAAUACGUAGGGUGCAAGCGUUAAUCGGAAUUACUGGGCGUAAAGCGUGCGCAGGCGGUUUCGUAAGUCUGUCGUGAAAUCCCCGGGCUUAACCUGGGAAUGGCGAUGGAGACUGCGAGGCUAGAGUUUGGCAGAGGGGGGUAGAAUUCCACGUGUAGCAGUGAAAUGCGUAGAGAUGUGGAGGAACACCGAUGGCGAAGGCAGCCCCCUGGGUCAAAACUGACGCUCAUGCACGAAAGCGUGGGGAGCAAACAGGAUUAGAUACCCUGGUAGUCCACGCCCUAAACGAUGUCUACUAGUUGUNGGGUCUUAAUUGACUUAGUAACGCAGCUAACGCGUGAAGUAGACCGCCUGGGGAGUACGGUCGCAAGAUUAAAACUCAAAUGAAUUGACGG
rnacentral:rRNA from 1 species